rnacentral:misc_RNA from 1 species
AAGUCGUAACAAGGUUUCCGUAGGUGAACCUGCGGAAGGAUCAUUAGCAUACGCGUUGACCCGUGUGAUUAAAAAUCUCUCGGGUCCAACCGCGCCAAACCAUGUGAACUUGGAAUGUAUAUAGCUGUGCGGUGAGGGGGGCUGAUGAGAGAGUUUGUUCUCUUUCGGAUGUGUUCCGCGCCGCAUGGUCAACUAAACCUGUAACUUUUAAUUACACAAACAAAACCAUAUAACUAAAUACACAACUUUUAACAAUGGAUCUCUUGGCUCCU